rnacentral:rRNA from 1 species
GGGCCCGCACAAGCGGUGGAGCAUGUGGUUUAAUUCGAUGAUACGCGAGGAACCUUACCAGGGCUUAAAUGUAAGUUGCAUAGAUCAGAGAUGGUCUUUUCUUCGGACUACUUACAAGGUGCUGCAUGGUUGUCGUCAGCUCGUGCCGUGAGGUGUCAGGUUAAGUCCUAUAACGAGCGCAACCCCUGUCGUUAGUUACCAGCAAGUAAUGUUGGGUACUCUAGCGAGACUGCCGGUGCAAACCGUGAGGAAGGUGGGGAUGACGUCAAAUCAUCACGGCCCUUACGUCCUGGGCUACACACGUGCUACAAUGGCCGGUACAGAGAGCAGCCACUACGCGAGUAGGAGCGAAUCUUCAAAGCCGGUCUCAGUUCGGAUCGCAGUCUGCAACUCGACUCCGUGAAGUCGGAAUUGCUAGUAAUCG